rnacentral:rRNA from 1 species
GGCGAACGCUGGCGGCAGGCUUAACACAUGCAAGUCGAGCGGGCACUUCGGUGUCAGCGGCAGACGGGUGAGUAACACGUGGGAAUGUACCCUUUGGUUCGGAAUAACGCUGGGAAACUAGCGCUAAUACCGGAUACGCCCUUUUGGGGAAAGGCUUGCUGCCGAAGGAUCGGCCCGCGUCUGAUUAGCUAGUUGGUGGGGUAAUGGCCUACCAAGGCGACGAUCAGUAGCUGGUCUGAGAGGAUGAUCAGCCACACUGGGACUGAGACACGGCCCAGACUCCUACGGGAGGCAGCAGUGGGGAAUAUUGGACAAUGGGCGCAAGCCUGAUCCAGCCAUGCCGCGUGAGUGAUGAAGGCCUUAGGGUUGUAAAGCUCUUUUGUCCGGGACGAUAAUGACGGUACCGGAAGAAUAAGCCCCGGCUAACUUCGUG